GACGAACGCUGGCGGCGUGCCUAAUACAUGCAAGUCGAGCGGAGUUCAGUCUUCGGAUUGGAUUUAGCGGCGGACGGGUGAGUAACACGUAGGUAACCUGCCUAACAGACUGGGAUAACUACCGGAAACGGUAGCUAAGACCGGAUACGUCAACAUGAGGGCAUCCUUGAGUCGAGAAAAGCGGAGCAAUCUGCUACUGAUAGAUGGACCUGCGGCGCAUUAGCUAGUUGGUGAGGUAACGGCUCACCAAGGCGACGAUCCGUAGCUGGUCUGAGAGGACGAUCAGCCACACUGGGACUGAGACACGGCCCAGACUCCUACGGGAGGCAGCAGUGGGGAAUCUUGCACAAUGGGCGAAAGCCUGAUGCAGCGACGCCGCGUGAGGGAAGAAGGCUUUCGGGUUGUAAACCUCUUUCAGGAGGGACGAAGCUCCUCGGGUUAAUAGCCCAGAGGGUGACGGUACCUCCAGAAGAAGCCCCGGCUAACUACGUGCCAGCAGCCGCGGUAAUACGUAGGGGGCAAGCGUUGUCCGGAUUUAUUGGGCGUAAAGAGCGUGUAGGCGGCUAGGUAGGUCCGUUGUGAAAACUCGAGGCUCAACCUCGAGACGCCGAUGGAAACCAUCUAGCUAGAGUCCGGAAGAGGAGAGUGGAAUUCCUGGUGUAGCGGUGAAAUGCGCAGAUAUCAGGAAGAACACCCGUGGCUAAGGCGGCUCUCUAGUACGGUACUGACGCUGAGACGCGAAAGCGUGGGGAGCG
rnacentral:rRNA from 1 species